AGUGAACGCUGGCGGUAGGCCUAACACAUGCAAGUCGAACGGCAGCACAGUAAGAGCUUGCUCUUACGGGUGGCGAGUGGCGGACGGGUGAGGAAUACAUCGGAAUCUACUUUUUCGUGGGGGAUAACGUAGGGAAACUUACGCUAAUACAGCAUACGACCUACGGGUGAAAGCAGGGGAUCUUCGGACCUUGCGCGAUUGAAUGAGCCGAUGUCGGAUUAGCUAGUUGGCGGGGUAAAGACCCACCAAGGCGACGAUCCGUAGCUGGUCUGAGGGGAUAAUCAGCCACACUGGAACUGGGACACGGUCCAGACUCCUACGGGAGGCAGCAGGGGGGAAUAUUGGACAAUGGGCGCAAGCCUGAUCCAGCCAUACCGCGUGGGUGAAGAAGGCCUUCGGGUUGUAAAGCCCUUUUGUUGGGAAAGAAAAGCAGCAGGUUAAUACCCCGCUGUUCUGACGGUACCCAAAGAAUAAGCACCGGCUAACUUCGUG
rnacentral:rRNA from 1 species